CAGACCCUACACCUUAGUGUGGCUGCUUUUUUCUUUUUUGAGAUAGAGUCUUGCUCUGUCGCCCAGGCUGGAGUGCAGCGGCACAAUCUCGGCUCACUGCAACCUCCGCCCCCAUGUUGCACCUUCCCAUCCUCUCCCUUGCUGCGGGAAGGAAGGGCCUGGGCACUGAGUGGGGUCAUUUUCAGGACAAUGUGCAUGUGCGGCGCUGAGCAGGAGGCAUGGCGGGUGAAGACGCCUUUGGCUACUGGCGCUGGGAUCCGGGGACUUCCCACAGCAAGCGCCUGACUGGAGCCUGCAGAGCGGUGCGCUGGUGCCCUCUAGUGGGAGGACACCGCCAUGCAGCCACCUGUCCUGGCCUCGGCUCCAGCAGGCCCUGACCCUGGGGCCACAUUCAGAGCAGGACUGUUAAUGAUGGGGCUGGACUGCCCACAUCACUGCCAGCGUGGCAGCCUGGCCAACCCCUCCACUCCUGUGAUAGAGAUCGCCAAAAAUGCCACCAGUGCACCAGCCUCGUGGAUGGCAUUUGGGGUUUCCCUGGAACCACAGUGUGAGCCCAAGUGUUUCUCAGCGUCUGCCUUGGCCUAUGGCUUCAAUACUCAGAACCAUGACUGAACCCUGAAUCCAUGGCCCCGCACUCAGAGCCUGCGGCUGUCGCCCCUCCCCCUCUUCAGAGUUCCUGGAGAGCGAUGCCGGUCUCAACUCUCCUGACGCUGCCGCCGUGUGGAUGCCGUAAAACCUGGCUACUGGUUAGCUCCUAGCCCAGGGUACCUGCUCCUCUCCCCCAGCCACCAGUGUGGGAAGGAAGACCUUGGGGACCGUUCACACCAGCAAUAGACUCUUUACUUAACUGGCUCGCUAAAUGCCUUUUCAGAGUGCAGAAGCAUUCCUGGCAGCAGGGUUCCCAGAGGUAUGGUGUGAGUCCUGGACACAGACACCUACUGUCUACCCUGUUGCCCUACAUCCUUGGGUGAUCUCCAAGGGCCUGAGUCCAGCAGCGCUAGAGAUGAAGGUCCCUGAGGUCAGCAAUGCAGUGAGACUCACCCCUGGAUUCAUUGCCCCCUGUGGAAACAUAGCCAGAUGGGGCCAUCAGGGAUAGGGGCCUUGGCUUUGGCUGGAGAGGAGCUUGGCCAGACACCUAGGUGUCAGCAUCUGACCCACACUGGAGGCAUCACCUCUUAAGACCACUCACUGCGGCAUGUGCUCCAUGUGUGACCCACUGAGAGAUAAGCUGGGGCUCCCAGGAGAUCUUCACCAGGCAUUCAGUGUGGGGUCCACUGGGGCCCUCUGCUUUGUCGUCAGCCACUAUUCACGCCCCAGACUGCAGGAGCUGCAGCAGCACAGGGGAGGAAGGUGGGGUGUGCUGGGAGAGGACCAGACUUCGCCCUGCAGGGACUGUGACCUGGGCAAGGCACCAGCACUUUGUCGGAGUUCACAGCUUUGAAUACGGCUGGGGCAGAGCACUUGUCCAUGAAGAUGAGUUGUGAGCAAGAAAAGAGGAAGAUUUGGCGCACCUGGAUCUCACAGAACAACUGUGAGCUCCCCUUCUUCCCGCUUGCCUGCAGGAUAGUCACGCCCUGCAGUUGGCGAGGGAGGGGAGGGGAGGCAUGUGACUAGUUCUGUCCAAUGGGCUCUAAGUGGAGCCGAUCUUUCUGGCCCAAACCAUUUAAGACACAGAGCAGGGGUGUCCAAUCUUUUGGCUUCCCUGGGCCACACCAAAAGAAGAAUUGUCUUGGGCCACACAUAAAAUACGCUAACGAUAGCUGAUGAGCUUAAAAAUAAUUGUAAAAUAUCUCAUAAUAUUUUAAGAAAGUUCAGUUUGUUUUGGGCCAUAUUCAAAGCCAUGCUGGGCCACACUCUCUUUGCCCCUGCCAGGGCCACCUGGGAACCAUGGAUUGAGAUGGCAGGGCCACAGAACGCAAUCCACCUGGACCUUGGAGUCCCCAAGGAGCUGUUCUGGAGACCAGCUGGGCCCUCAGCAGAAUGUCAGGAAGUUAGAAAUAAAAUUCUGUGUGUGAU